AGAGAGAGAAGGGAGAAAAUGGAGGCCGGCAAGUCCUGGGGAAAGGAAGAGACCCUGCUUCUUUCUUGUUCAGGGCACCUGAGGCCACGCUGCUUCCCGUGAUGAUGAGAUGGAGGCGCCAACCCUGGACAUGGGUCCCUUGGAGGCUGGCUGGCAGAGCUGGCUCAAGAAGUUAUGACCAGCCCCAACCCACCAAGUAUUUAAAUGAAUACUCUUUGGAAGCGCAAGAUAAAAGAAAAAGUUGG